rnacentral:rRNA from 1 species
AACGAACGCUGGCAGCAUGCCUAACACAUGCAAGUCGAACGAGACCUUCGGGUCUAGUGGCGCACGGGUGCGUAACGCGUGGGAACCUGCCCUUAGGUUCGGAAUAACUCCCCGAAAGGGGUGCUAAUACCGGAUAAUGUCUUCGGACCAAAGAUUUAUCGCCUUUGGAUGGGCCCGCGUUGGAUUAGCUAGUUGGUAGGGUAAAAGCCUACCAAGGCGACGAUCCAUAGCUGGUCUGAGAGGAUGAUCAGCCACACUGGGACUGAGACACGGCCCAGACUCCUACGGGAGGCAGCAGUGGGGAAUAUUGGACAAUGAGCGAAAGCCUGAUCCAGCAAUGCCGCGUGAGUGAUGAAGGCCUUAGGGUUGUAAAGCUCUUUUACCCGGGAUGAUAAUGACAGUACCGGGAGAAUAAGCUCCGGCUAACUCCGUG